rnacentral:rRNA from 1 species
CGGUGUUUAACUGGCGUGAUGUGGGACGUCCUACCGGUGGGCUUAGCCUCGCGAGGGGCGGCCCAACUAAUAUCCCGUCGCGGUGCUCUUUACUGAGUGUCGAGUCGGGCCGGUACGUUUACUUUGAACAAAUUAGAGUGCUUAAAGCAGGCUAUCCUCGCCUGAAUACUGCGUGCAUGGAAUAAUGGAAUAGGACCUCGGUUCUAUUUUGUUGGUUUUCGGAACCCCGAGGUAAUGAUUAAUAGGGACAGAUGGGGGCAUUUGUAUUGCGACGUUAGAGGUGAAAUUCUUGGAUCGUCGCAAGACGGACAGAAGCGAAAGCAUUUGCCAAAAAUGUUUUCAUUAAUCAAGAACGAAAGUUAGAGGUUCGAAGGCGAUCAGAUACCGCCCUAGUUCUAACCAUAAACGAUGCCAGCUAGCGAUCCGCCGAAGUUCCUCCGAUGACUCGGCGGGCAGCUUCCGGGAAACCAAAGCUUUUGGGUUCCGGGGGAAGUAUGGUUGCAAAGCUGAAACUUAAAGGAAUUGACGGAAGGGCACCACCAGGAGUGGAGCCUGCGGCUUAAUUUGACUCAACACGGGAAACCUCACCAGGCCCAGACACCGGAAGGAUUGACAGAUUGAUAGCUCUUUCUUGAUUCGGUGGGUGGUGGUGCAUGGCCGUUCUUAGUUGGUGGAGCGAUUUGUCUGGUUAAUUCCGAUAACGAACGAGACUCUAGCCUGCUAAAUAGGCGUACCUUAUGGUAUCGCGAAGGCCCCCGGCUUCGGCCGGUGGGUUUUUACUACCAACGUACAAACAAAUCUUCUUAGAGGGACAGGCGG